rnacentral:rRNA from 1 species
GAGUUUGAUCCUGGCUCAGGACGAACGCUGGCGGCGUGCUUAACACAUGCAAGUCGAACGGAAAGGCCCCUUCGGGGGUCUCGAGUGGCGAACGGGUGAGUAACACGUGGGUGAUCUGGCCUGCACUUCGGGAUAAGCCUGGGAAACUGGGUCUAAUACCGGAUAUGACCUCCCUUUAGUGUGGGGGGUGGAAAGAUUUAUCGGUGCAGGAUGAGCCCGCGGCCUAUCAGCUUGUUGGUGGGGUAAUGGCCUACCAAGGCGUCGACGGGUAGCCGGCCUGAGAGGGUGGACGGCCACAUUGGGACUGAGAUACGGCCCAGACUCCUACGGGAGGCAGCAGUGGGGAAUAUUGCACAAUGGGCGGAAGCCUGAUGCAGCGACGCCGCGUGGGGGAUGACGGCCUUCGGGUUGUAAACCUCUUUCGACAGGGACGAAGUGAAAAUGACGGUACCUGUAUAAGAAGCACCGGCUAACUACGUGCCAGCAGCCGCGGUAAUACGUAGGGUGCGAGCGUUGUCCGGAAUUACUGGGCGUAAAGAGCUCGUAGGUGGUUUGUCACGUCGUCUGUGAAAUUCCGGGGCUUAACCUCGGGCGUGCAGGCGAUACGGGCAAUACUUGAGUGCUGUAGGGGAGACUGGAAUCCUGGUGUAGCGGUGAAAUGCGCAGAUAUCAGGAGGAACACCAAUGGCGAGGGCAGGUCUCUGGGCAGUUACUGACGCUGAGGAGCGAAAGCAUGGGUAGCGAACAGGAUUAGAUACCCUGGUAGUCCAUGCCGUAAACGGUGGGCGCUAGGUGUAGGGGACUUCCACGUUCUCUGUGCCGUAGCUAACGCAUUAAGCGCCCCGCCUGGGGAGUACGGCCGCAAGGCUAAAACUCAAAGGAAUUGACGGGGGCCCGCACAAGCGGCGGAGCAUGUGGAUUAAUUCGAUGCAACGCGAAGAACCUUACCUGGGCUUGACAUACACCGGACCGGCGUAGAGAUACGUCUUCCCUUGUGGCCGGUGUACAGGUGGUGCAUGGUUGUCGUCAGCUCGUGUCGUGAGAUGUUGGGUUAAGUCCCGCAACGAGCGCAACCCUUGUCUUAUGUUGCCAGCACGUGAUGGUGGGGACUCAUGAGAGACUGCCGGGGUCAACUCGGAGGAAGGUGGGGACGACGUCAAAUCAUCAUGCCCCUUAUGUCCAGGGCUUCACACAUGCUACAAUGGUCGGUACAGCAGGUCGCGAACUCGUGAGAGUAAGCCAAUCCUUCAAAGCCGGCCUCAGUUCGGAUUGGGGUCUGCAACUCGACCCCAUGAAGUCGGAGUCGCUAGUAAUCGCAGAUCAGCAACGCUGCGGUGAAUACGUUCNCCGGGCCUUGUACACACCGCCCGUC